CCAUUUCCUCUGGAGUCUGACAAUGAUGGUAUGGUAGCCAGCCUCUAAGUUGAGUCCAGUGAUCUCUGCUUCCUGGUAUUCAUUCCCUUGUGUGUGUGCUGAACCUAGUAACUUGCUUUUAAUCAGUAUAAUCGGACAAAAAUGAUGGAAUGUUACUUCUAUGAUUAGGUUAGAAAAGAUCGUGACUUCCGUCUUCUUUUACACUUCCUCUUUCUCAUUGGGCUGGAUGAAGCAAGCUGCCAUGCUGAAGAGGACAAUAUAGUAAUGAACUGAGGGCAGCCAACAGUCAAAUGGGAACUGAGGCUCUCAGUCCAAUAAUCUUCGAGGAAGUAAGUUUUCCAACACCUAUGUAAGUGAGCUUGAAAGUAGAUAUUUCCCCAGUUGAGUUUUCUGAUGAAAUUGGAAUUUUGUGCCAAUCAAGAGCUCUUCGUACUCCAACGUUUAAGAAGAAAAAAGUGACAGGGUCUUCCUCUGUCACCCAGAGCACUGGUGUGCAGUGGCGCAAUCCUCAACUUCCCAGACCAAGAGAUUCUCCUACCCCAGUCCCAGGAGUGUCUAGGACAACAGCUGCUCCUGUGAGAUCCAGGCCACUUUUCUCAGUGCUCUCUGCAUCCAGCCAGUGCCCUGCCUUAUUCUAGCAGCCAGGAAUGUUCAACUUUGGAAGCCAGUGAGAGAAUGCAGCAACAAGAUGCUGUCUUGGAAGGAGAUGCUGGGCUCUCACCACACAUGGAACAUAACAGGACCUUCAUUACUGACUUCCCAGCCUCUAGAACAUGAGAAAUAAGUUCCAAUUGUUUAUAGAGAGUAUGGGAAUCUGGCAACAUGGCUGAAUAAGAACAGCUCCAAUCUACAGCUCCCAGUGAGACCAACGCAGAAGGCGGGUGAUUUCUGCAUUUCCAACUGAGGUACCUGGUUCAUCUCAUUGGGACUGGUUAGACAGUGGACGCAGCCCAUGGAGGGUGAGCAGAAGCAGGGUGGGGUGUCGCCUCACCCAGGAAGCACAAGGGGUCUGGAAACUACCUUCCCUAGCCAAGGGAAGCCAUGAGGGACUGUGAUAUCUGGCCAAGAUACCAUGCUUUUCCCGCAGAUUUUGCAACCUGCAGACCAGGAUAUUCCCUUUGGUGCCUACACCACCAGGGCCCUGGGUUUCAUGCACAAAACUGGGUGGCCAUUUGGGCAGACAUUGAGCUAGCUGCAGGAGUUAUUUUUUGUACCCCAGUGGUGCCUGGAACACCAGCAAGACAGAACCAUUUCACUCCCUUGAAAGGGGCUGAAGCCAGGGAGCCAAGUGGUCUUGCUCAGUGUGCCCCACCAGCAUGGAGCCCAGCAAGCUAAGAUCUACUAGCUUGAAAUUUCCACUGCCAGCACAGCAUUCUGAAGUCAACCAGGGGAGCUUGAGCUUGGUGGGGAGAGGGGCAUCUGCCAUUACUGAACCUUGUGUAGGCGGUUUUCCUCUGACAGUGUAAACAAAGCCACUGGGAAGUUUGGACUGGGUGGAACUCACCACAGAACAGCAAAGCUACUAUAGCCAGACUGCUUCUCUAGAUUCCUCCACUCUUGGCAAGGCAUCUCUGAAAGAAAGGCAGCAACCCCAGUCAGAAGGUCAUAAAUAAAAGUCCCAUCUCCCGGAGACAGAGCACUGGGGGAUGGGGUGGUUGUGGGCACAGCUUCAGCAGAAUUAAACGUUUCUGCCUGCCAGCUCUGAAGAGAGCAGUGGAUCUCCCAGAACAGUGCUUGAGCUUUGCUAAGGGACAGACUGCCUCCUCAAGUGGGUCCCUGACCCCACAUGCCUCCUGACUGGGAGACAUGUCCCAGCAUGGGUCAACAGGCAGCUCAUACAGGAGAGCUCUGACUGGCAUCUGGCAGGUGCCCCUCUGGGAUGAAGCUUCCAGAGGAAGGAGAAGGCAGCAAUCUUUGCUGUUCUGCAGCCUCCACUGCUGAUACCCAGGCAAACAGGGUUUUCAGCAGACCUCCAGCAAACUCCAGCAGACCUGCAGAAGAGAGGCCUGACUGUUAGAAGAAAAACUAACAAACAGAAAGCAAUAACAUCAACAUCAUCAAAAAGGACACCCACACAAAAACCCCAUCUGAAGGUCAUUAGCAUCAAAGAUCAAAGGUAGAUAAAUCCACGAAGAUGAGGAAAAACCAGUGCAGAAAUGCUGAAAAUUCCCAAAACCAGAAUGCCUCUUCUCCUCCAAAGGAUCACAACUCCUCACCAGCAAGGGAACAAAACUCAACAGAAAAAUGAGUUUGACCAAUUGACAGAAGUAGGAUUCAGAAG